rnacentral:rRNA from 1 species
CCUACGGGAGGCAGCAGUGGGGAAUAUUGGACAAUGGGGGGAACCCUGAUCCAGCCAUGCCACGUGUGUGAAGAAGGCCCUCGGGUUGUAAAGCACUUUCAGUGAGGAAGAACGCCUGGUGGUUAAUACCCAUCAGGAAAGACAUCACUCACAGAAGAAGCACCGGCUAACUCCGUGCCAGCAGCCGCGGUAAUACGGAGGGUGCGAGCGUUAAUCGGAAUUACUGGGCGUAAAGCGCGCGUAGGUGGCUUGAUAAGCCGGUUGUGAAAGCCCCGGGCUCAACCUGGGAACGGCAUCCGGAACUGUCAAGCUAGAGUGCAGGAGAGGAAGGUAGAAUUCCCGGUGUAGCGGUGAAAUGCGUAGAGAUCGGGAGGAAUACCAGUGGCGAAGGCGGCCUUCUGGACUGACACUGACACUGAGGUGCGAAAGCGUGGGUAGCAAACAGGAUUAGAUACCCGGGUAGUC